UUUUAUUCAGCCUUUACUACUUGGAAAUUCUUACGAAAAUGUUUUCUUCAUUAGUUAACUUGGAAAAGAGAAAAUUUUCUCCUUUCGUAAUCCUUUCUGUUGGUAUUAGGAAAUUCCAAGGAAGUUGCAAAAUCUGAACAUAUUAGCAUUAUAAUGUGAUUUGUGCUUUCGCAGAAAGUAGUUGUUGAUGCUACCAAAGAACUUCUAAGCAAGGCUAUUAAAGAAAAGCUUGAACUGGACAUGUUUUUACCAUUCAACACCUUCCAUAUUGCAGAUUUGGGUUGUUCGGUUGGGCCUAAUACAUUUUUUUCUGUUGAAAAUAUACUUGAAGCUGUGAAAUUUGAGUAUCAAAGCGGAGGGCCGAGUUCUGAAGUCCCCAAAUUUCAAGUUUUCUUCAGUGAUAAAACCCUAAAUGAUUUUAACAUACUCUUCAAUUACCUCCCUCAGAACAGGAACUAUUAUGCAGCGGGUGUGCCAGGUUCUUUCCACGGUCGCUUGUUUCCCAAGGCUUCCAUUAACUUUUUUCACUCUUCAUUAGCCCUUCAUUGGCUUUCUAGGGUACCAAAAGAUGUAAUGGACAAAAACAGUCGUGCUUGGAAUAAAGGACGAAUCCACUACUCAAAUAACCAAGACGAAGUAUUGAAGGCAUAUCAAUCUCAAUAUGCUGAGGACAUGGAUUGUUUCCUCCGUGCCAGAGCACUUGAGACUGUGCAUCGAGGAUUGAUUGUGCUUAACCUACUAGGACGCCCUCUUAACUGUAUUGAAAUUGUGGGUUUUGACAUUUUUGGAUCUUGCCUCGUGGAGAUGGCUACGAAGGUAAGCAAUAUUCAUCAACCUGCAUACACCGGUCUAUUAACUUGGUUUCUAGCUUUUUUUCUUUCCGAGUAGAGGUAUUUAACGGAUUUUGAAUGUUUAAAAAAUUGAUCAAUGUCAAGGUAACUGGAGAGUUUUAUGUCACAUAUUUCAUAUUGCAAGUAUUGUUGCUUUAUGCAGUAUUUCAGAAGAUCGUAUCUUAGAUAUAUAUAUAUGGGUGCAUGAUUAAUACUAUAUGUUUUUCGUUGACAUAUAGGGGGUAAUUAGUGAAGAAAAAGUAGAUUCAUUUAACAUCCCUUCCUACUUCGUGUCUCCCCAAGAACUGGAAGUCAUUGUGGAACGAAAUGGAUGCUUUAGCAUAGAGAUAUUGGAAACCUUACCUCAGCAUGUCUUGAGUGGCUCUCCCAGUGCUCCUGCUAUGAGAGCUUUCACUGAGGGACUGAUCAAGCAACAAUUUGGAGAAGAAAUCUUAGAUGAUCUCUUCAGCUUGUAUCACCAGAAACUUGAAGAGCAAAUGUCGAUAGCUGAGUCAAAGAAGGCAGUUGUCCUUUUUGUUGUGCUUAAACGCAAGACUAAUUGAUUUGAACAUUCAUUGUUUAUUUGUUUGUAUUCCUGAAACUCUCUGUUUGUUGGUUAUUUAGUAUUGAAGAGUAGAUUUUAAGUGAGCUUCACUCUGUAUAACAAUGGAAAGAUAUUAGCUACCUAUACUCGACAGUGCAUCUGCAAGUGUCAUAAUGUCCCAUACUUUGAUUCUUAUCGCAAAAUCGUCAAAAAAAUCCGUUAGUAAUGCACAAAUGAAACCCACUAUGUCGAUGAAAUGAAACCCACUCAUGAGUUCCAUGAUGUGUCCAACAAAAAAAUAAUGAAAAAACUAAGGGACAAAUCUUGUUUAUGUCAGGGGAGGGAAGAGGAUAAGAACCUGGAAUGCAAUGGGUUGAAGAUGUAGUUCCAAAUUGUCCUACAAAUAAUAUGCUUCCACAUGUUUUAAAAGUAGUCUUUUCAAAUUAAAAUUGCACGAUUUAAGUUACAAUGUUUACAAUAAUUACGGUUGAUUAGGAAUCUGUAGUACUAUUUUAACACCACUUUUAUCUUAGUUUGACUACAUAAGAGCUAGAUGAGGGUGAAGAACGAACAAUGUUGUUUACUGCAGCAUGAUGAAGGAUCGUACCCAGUGCACAAGGCUCCCGCUUUACGCAGGGUCGGGGAGAGGUGAAUGUCGGCUAGCCUUAUCCCCAUUUAUGGAGAGACUGCUCCCAAGUCUCGAACCCGAGACCUGCAGCAUGAUGAAGGAUGGUUACAUGAAAUAUGGAUAUGUAGAAGCAGCUAAAGAACACAUGGCUUCAGAACGGGUCCAAACAGAGUGUUAUCAUCAUCAGGCUUCAGAGCGAUUCCGAACAUAUCAGUACAAAUAGAGUCAUAUAAACGGAUUUGGAGAGCUGGAGCAGCAAGUGUAUAAUAAACAGCAACUUUGGUCUUUUUGAACCGGAACUAAUCUUUUGGGCUCGUGAAAGACCUAAAUGAUGGUCAAGAAUCGAACAAUGUUUUUUACUGCAACACGAUGAAUAAUGGUUACAUGCAAUAUGGAUAUGUAGAAGGAGCCAAAGAAUUGUUUGAAAAGCAUAUGUGUCCAGCCUGAUAUUGUGGAGCCUUUGCUAGGCUCUCUUAUAAAGCUAAUAGAGUGUUGGGCGUGCCAUUGUUGGCCAAGACCAACAGAUUUUAGAUUGCUUUAGGUGUUUGAGUUGUUUAUUUACGCCGUAAGUUACAUAAGCUUUUUAAUCAACAGAUUGUUUAUGGAGGGGUUAAGUCCAUAAUGAGUUCUUUUCUAUGCCUUGAAGACAAGGACCUAUAAUUUUGUGUUAAAUGUGAAUUGAUCAUGAAUUAACCAAUAAUAAUUUGAGUUUCAUUAUCAUGGUUAGUUAAAAGAAAUAAAACAGAGAGGGAAGACAAACAGAUAUUGAGGAGGUACUUAAACUGAAAAGCUUGCAGUAAUUCAUAGUGUAAAUAAAAAUGACAGUACAAUGUAUGUAAAAGUCAUAAUUGACGCAAUGAGUAAUGAACAUAAGAGUUUAAACUAAGUUUUAACCUAUCCGGGCAAACUUCUUGCAGUGGAAAGAGUACAAACUUGAAUGGAAAACAAAGGAAAUAACAACAAAGAAAUCGAUACUACAAAAAGAUGUAGCAGAGCUAGACACUGUAAAGGUGAUGACUGGACUGCAAAAAGAAUGCAAAGAAACUGACAGAGUUUUAAGAGUCUUUUUUAAAGUUGAGUUGAGUGUCCUUUUCUCCAUGCUUCCCCGCCGCUUUUAUAGAGUUUUAUUCUCUGUGAUUAAACUUCUUCCUUCUCAUCCAAUAAAUUUAUGCAAUAGGUUGUCAAGCGGUAGCAAACUGUUGAUUAUUAUUACAAUAACUUUUCAAACUAUUCUCACGCAUCAGAACACGUCAUCGUUAUCAACUAGCCACCUUAGACUUUUCCAUUAGUUUUUUCUUAUUGCCUUAGGAUUAUAGAGUGAAGUUGUAGCCAAUAAACUGCACAUAUAAAUAAGAAUGAUUCCCACGAUACCAUUCACAUACCCGUAACCAGUUAAAGAGCAAGAGAGAGAAAUGGCAGCUGCAGUUAGUGGCGAAGCCACGUGAGGGCAAGGAGUGGCGGCCGUCACUCCCCUCGUCGGAGAUGAAGCCUAGGAGCAAGUACCCGCCCUUCCUCUCACCGGAAAUGAAGCCCUGUUUUUUGUUGCAGCUGCACAAAUGCUGCGCGCGCAGUGGCGAGCCAUAGAGAUGCAAGGAGGUGUGAUCGCACCUCCAGGCAUCAGAACUCGACUCUAAGAGCGAUAAGCCGUCCCUCCGGACGUCAUCCCUAAGAACCUGCACUAAAACAAUGAAAUUUCACAUAUCUUCUCGCGAGGAAGAAGAAUUGUAGCACAUUUCAGUUUAUUGGCUUUAAGAGGAAUGGUGCCGUUACGUUUAUUGGCUUUAAGAGGAACUGUGUCGUCAUGUUUAUUGGCUUUAAUGGAACGAUGCUGUUACGGGUAUAGGCUUUUGACUUAGUUAUAUCUACAACCCACAUGAAACUGGUUCGGCCCAAUUUUUGGGCUCUUUUUCGUUUUUCUUUUUAUUUUGUUUAAUAUUUUAUUAAAAUGAAGGCAUUUUGGUGCUGUGAUUAUCCCUCGAUUUCAUUUUUUUAGUUGUUUUAAUUAUGUCAAGUUGCCACUUAGUACAACAGUCUAAUAGUAUUUCUCUUCACUUGUAAGUGAUAGGUCUUAGGUUUAAUUCACGUAAAAGGCGAAUUUGAACCAUAUUAUUAGUAACUCAUUAUAAGGCUUAGCCUACUCUCUCACCCAUUAAUGAUAAUAUCGUUUGUUCAAAAAAAAAAAAAAAAAAAAAAAAAAAAAAAAAAAAAAAUAUAUAUAUAUAUAUAUAUAUAUAUAUAUUAUAUAUCAAGUUGGUUAUUGUGUCUUUUGUUAGACAUCUCUAAUCUACUUUAUGAAUUUAAUGAUAGUAUAUAAUUCAGUUAAGAGCCAUAAUUUUGAGAAUGUUAAUCAAAUGAAUAUAUUAAUUAGUACUUAUAUCGUCGAUAUACAUUCCACAAAAAAGUAUACAUGUUAACUUUUCAUCAGAAUACCACACUUACAAAAAUGAUGUUCUUUUCAUCUACUUGUACCAUCUCUUUAAUAGAGAUGACACUCACAUGUAUUGGUGGACUCUACCUCUAUUAAAGAGUUUUCCUUAAACACCAACACACUGCCCCCAUCAACUCGCAUGACCAACACCACACCGCAGCUGACACGGCCACCAUCACUGACAAACAGAUCGCUUGCUAGGACACAUCUAAAAUUGGCUAAUUGCAUUCAUAUUCAUAUUUGGAUGAGGAUUUUCUAAGUUCCAAAGGAAUGAUGCCAAAUUAUUAGGGAAAGUAACACAAAAUAUGAACAACAUUGUAACUUGUUUAUAUUGACAAAUUAUGAACGACUUUAAUUUUAUUUACUAUCUGAAAUGAUGUGGGUGUCGAUAUUUUUUUGGACCUUUUACCUUUUGAAAUUUCGCCCCUCCCCCCCCCCGGGCCGAAAAUUUCUGGCUUCGCCACUGGUGUAGAAGUUUUUUGGUAAUGUUUCUGAAGCAUACCCAAUGACAGGUGGAGAUGGCCCCAACAGCUAUGCCAAGAACUCUAUACGGCAGGUUCUGCUUAUGUAGCCUUCACUAGUAUAUAUUAGGAAAUUCUCACGAUGCGUUUUUUUGGUUCAACUAGUAAAAGUUGCAAAUUAAACUAUUCAUUUAUCAUAAUAUUUUUCCAUUCCUUUCUGUGCUUUUGUAGAAAGGAGUUGUUGAUGCUGCCAAAUAAUUCUAACCAAGGGUAUUAAACAAAAUCUUGAUCUGGACAUCUUCUUACCUUGCAACACCUUCCAUAUUGCAGAUUUGCGUUACUCGGUUGGGCCUAAUACAUUUUUCUCGGUUGAAAACAUACCUGAAGCUGUGAAAUUCGAGUAUCAAAGCCAAGGGCUAAGUUCUCAAAUUACCGAAUUUCAAGCUUUUUUUCCACUGAUCAUACCCUAAAUGAUUUUAACAUGCUCUUCAAAUCCCUCCCGCAGAACAGGAACUACUAUGCAGUGGGUGUGCCAGGUUCUUUCUACGGUUUGCUUGUUUCCUAAUAAGGCUUCCAUUCCCUUUUUUCACUCGUCAUUAGCGGUUCAUUGGCUUUCUAGAGUACCAAAAGAUGUAACGAAAAAAAACAGUGGAGCUUGGAAUAAAGGACGAAUCCACUACUCAAAUUCCCAAGACGAAGUAGUCAAGGCUUAUCAAGCUCAAUAUUCUGAGGACAUGGAGUGUUUCCUCCAUGCCAGGGCGCUAGAGACUCUGCAUGGAGGAUUGGUAGAGCUUACCCUUUUAGGACGCCACAAUGGUACCCCUCAUUCUCACUCUCUAGGAAAUGUGACUCUUUGACAUUUUAGGAUCUUGCCUCCAGGACAGGGCUAGGAAGGUAAGCAAUAUCCAUACAUCACUACUCUAUGUUUGAUAUUGUAGUAAAACUACAUCAUAAUAAUAUUAUACUUUGUUAUGUAAAAUCUAAUAGUUCGGAAGAACAAAUUUUAUUCAGGUAUUGAGGACUAAUAUAUUGUUUUUUUUAAUCAUUUUAAUUAUCAAUGGACUAGUAAAUCUGCCUUGUAAAUUUAUUAAAGAUAAUGCUAUUCACACACCUAUUUUCUCUCACAUACCUUUGUAAUUUUUUUGUUAUUGAUCAUCUUCAAUUUAUACGAUCAGACGGUUGAAAAUUGAGAUGAGUGUGUGAGAAGUAAAUAUGGGUUUGUGAAUUGCACUACCCCUUUAUUAAAUUGGUUAGUUGAAUAAGUUUUCAUUUUUUACUGAGAGGGUGUAUUUUAAUGAAUUUUCAAUGUUUAGUAAUUAAGGUGGUGAAUGAGCAUAAAAGUAACAAUAAAAUAGUAGUCGUGUGACAAUGAUAUAUGAAUGUCAAAGAUACAUAUAAAAAUCAAUUCAACGUAAUUUGAGUGUUUUAUGUCCUUUUUUUUUUUCUCAACGCUUUAGAAAAUUAGAUUCAUUUAACAUCCCUUCAUACUUCUCCCCAAAAACUGGAAGUCGUUGUAGAACGAAAUGGAUGCUUUUAGCAUACAGAUUUUGGAAACCAUACUCAUCUUGUCCUGGAACAUGGCGAUCUCUCUAUAGCUAAACGUAGUGCAUCUACUGUUGAGUUUUGGUUUCAAUAUUUGUUGUAUAUUUCAUUAUGAAUGUUACAAGAGAGUGAAGGCAACUCUUAUAGAGAGUCAAAAGAAAGCUACAAUAGAUUGUAGGAUAACUACACAAACACAAUCCCUAAAAUCUGCCCUAACAAGUGGAAAAACAAAAACCAAAUUACAAGUAAAUAAGUUUUUACAAGCAAUUAAGAAAGGUUGAUGUAAGGUGAAUGACAAGGGUUGAUGUAAGGUGAAUGACAAACUAUGAAAAGUGAGGUUGAUGUAAAGUGAAUGACAAGUUAUGGAAAUGGACUUUAGCCUAUGACUUAGCUAAAGUGAGGAUGACAACUCAUACAUACAACCUAUCCAUACAAACCGGUUACAACCCAUCCAUACAAACCGGUUACAACCCAUCCAUACAAACCGGUUUCAAUAUCUACCAUGAGAGCUGCCACAGAGGGACUCAUUAAGCAACAAUUUGGAGAAGAAAUCUCAGAUGAUCUCUUCAACUUGUAUCAGCAAAAACUUGAAGAGCAAAUCUCAAUAUUUACGUCAAAGGAGUUGGUUAUCUUUUUUUGUUGUGCUUAAACGCAAGACAAAUUGAUUUGAGCAUGCUGUUUUAGUGUUCACGAAACUAUCUGUUAAAUUUCCUAAUGUUAGUUAUUUAAUAAUGAAGAGUAGAUUAGAAGUAUGUUUUUUUAGUACAAUGAUAUAUUUUACACUAAAGGGAGAUGGGAGUUCAGCUAAGCCACACAAUGAGUAACUUAAUUUGGUAUCGAAUUCGCCAUUCACGAGAUUCGAACCUAAACCUGUCAUUUACAAGUGAAGAGGCAUACCACCAAAUUGUAGUACUGAGUGGCAGAUUAGAAGUAUGUUAGCUACCUAAAAUACACAAGAGCCAUAACUCAAUAUGGUGGUUAGUUAUUUACCCCAAAAAUUAAAGUGCCUAAUCAGAAGAUAAAAAGUUAAGGCUUAAAUAUUGUUGUAACGUCCUGUUUGGGCCCAAAAUAUAAAUUUAGGGUGAGAAUGAGUAAUUUGGAAUAAAAAGCCCGUUAUUUGGCCCAUCAUUGGUUUCGUGAGUUAAGAGUGUUCCGGACCUAUACGACAUCAGCCCAACUGAGUCCUUAUGACUGAAGAAUUGUGAAGGGAUCACGUUUGAGCAAGUCUCGGUCGAGUCUUAGAUGAACAAAAACUUUUAGAGUGCGUUUGUUGCACUGGACUAUUUCGGAUUGGACUAACUUCAAGGAUUAAGCUGGAUUGGCUUAUAAUAGACUAAGUUGGACUAAAUUAGUGAAACAUUUAGUUUAGCGCCGAACUAAAAAUCAAAAUAAUUACAACCUUUAAUAUUACAUUAUUUAAUACAUAUCUAUUAAUAUUUUAAUACAUACUUAUUAAUAUUUUAUUAUUAUGCAACAUUUUUCAUUUUCUUAAGAACUCUCCCUCUCCCUAGAAACUUCUUUGCUUUUCUCCCUCUUUGACCCCGUCAUAUUCUCUUCGUUUCUCCAUCUUUUUUCUGCAAAAUUUCAGAUCCUUCAAAAUUAUUUUUAUUGCAAGACGCAAUUUUUUCAAGAGAUUUUUCUGACCACUGUCCUGAUUUUGCAAUGCGAGAUCACCGUCUUGCAUUUGCAGUACGAGAUCGCUGUCCUGUUUUUCCAGUACGUGAUCGAAGUCCUUCUUUGCCAGAUCGAAUUCUGCAGAUUCUCAACCCGCAAUUUGAAACUUUGAAAUUGUUUUGAAUAAGGAAAAGAAGAGGAGGAAGAUGAGGAAAGGAGUACCUUGAGUCAUUACCCGUGAGAGGAAGAGAGGCUGGACUGCAAAAAUAGAGAAGCAUGAGUCGCCGCCGUUGAUCGAUUUCUCUGAAAUAACCCAUCAAUCCUCAGCGUCGCCUCCACAGAAGGGUGAGAUCGAUUUGAUGAAUAGUCAUCGAUCUGCUACUGUUGUUACUGUUGAUCUGCGAAGAAUGAGAUCCAUGGGUCCGAAAGUAGAAAGGGCAAGAUCAACUUAGCAGUCUAGCUAUUUUUGGAAGGUCUCGCUAAGACCCUUUAGUGAAGGCUUUAGUGAACGCGAGUCCCUCAUAAUCCCACUAAUGAUUAUCUAAGUUGGGGUAACGUGGAGUGCAUGUGGCUAUUUGGCACCAACUCUGAUACCAUGAAGAGAGUUGGGGUUCCACCAUAAAAUCAAUUGACAAUAUGGGGAGUAGCCCAACCUCUUAUAAACUCAUGCAAGGUCUCUCCUCUCAUCAAUGUGGAACAUUCUUAACAAACUGAAAUCAGGAUUUUAAAACAAAUUGAAUAAUAUUAAAGUGAUUAAUGAAGACUUGUACUUUGAAAUACACAAUUAAAAUUCCAACAACAUCAAAUUACAGGUGGCACAAUAUACACCAUUUAAUUAUUUUCAUGGUGACCAUCCAUUACAAACAAUUACAAACUCAGACAUUUCUUUAACUCUAAACCUGAAAACCAGUUCUCUUCCAAUCUGCAAACCAUCAAUCCUUGCAGCCACAAAGCUUAUGGUUCAGCAAUUCGGAACGGUUGAAUCCGCAUUCAAACUGCACAGCAGCCACCGUUUCCAUAUAGUUGAUAAGUUGUGUCUUAUAAUUGAUGUCUUUCUAUAAUUAAAUAAUAGCCAUUGAUAUUGCAUCGAAGUCAAACUGAUGACCAUUAUAAUUUACAGAAAGUUGACUAGUCUUAAUGAAGAGUUGUGGCUGAUUUAAAAGUGUGCUGCCGAAUGGAUGUACGCUAUGCGAAGAGAAACAGUAGCCUCUACAAGUAGAGGGCUUACAGGCUGAUGAUCAUCUAAUUUAUUACUUCUUUUUUUUUUUUAUAGAAAUUUUGCUGGUAUUUCGGUACUGUUCGGGACUGGGGCUUGAGUCCAAAUCGUUGGGUUUUCUAUAUUAUUUUGAAUUUUGGGCUGAAAUUUGGUCAGCUCAACUUUUAAUAUAUUGUGAUACUUGUGGUUCUUCCAUCUAAUUUAUUUUUUAUAUUAUUUUGUACUUAUCUCACAGAUCAGAACACGGCAUCUUUACCAACUACCAAUGACUUUUCCCCAUUAUUCUCUUCUUCUUGCCUACGGAUUAUAUUUGUGGAGUGACUCCCACAUACCACCCACAACUCCCAUAUAAACAAAUAGAGAGAGAGAGAGAGAGAGAGAUGACAGCUGCAAUGGGGGAUUCCACUAAUGUUUCUGAGGCAUAUCCAAUGAAAGGUGGAGAUGGCCCCGACAGCUAUGCCAAGAAUUCUAUCGAACAGGUUCUGCUAAUUGAUGAAAAAUCUUUUUUUUUUAUUUCUUUUUAUUCAGCCUUUACUACUUGGAAAUUCUUACGAAAAUGUUUUCUUCAUUAGUUAACUUGGAAAAGAGAAAAUUUUCUUCUUUCGUAAUCCUUUCUGUUGGUAUUAGGAAAUUCCAAGGAAGUUGCAAAAUCUGAACAUAUUAGCAUUAUAAUGUGAUUUGUGCUUUCGCAGAAAGUAGUUGUUGAUGCUACCAAAGAACUUCUAAGCAAGGCUAUUAAGAAAAGCUUGAACUGGACAUGUUUUUACCAUUCAACACCUUCCAUAUUGCAGAUUUGGGUUGUUCGGUUGGGCCUAAUACAUUUUUUUCUGUUGAAAAUAUACUUGAAGCUGUGAAAUUUGAGUAUCAAAGCGGAGGGCCGAGUUCUGAAGUCCCCAAAUUUCAAGUUUUCUUCAGUGAUAAAACCCUAAAUGAUUUUAACAUACUCUUCAAUUACCUCCCUCAGAACAGGAACUAUUAUGCAGCGGGUGUGCCAGGUUCUUUCCACGGUCGCUUGUUUCCCAAGGCUUCCAUUAACUUUUUUCACUCUUCAUUAGCCCUUCAUUGGCUUUCUAGGGUACCAAAAGAUGUAAUGGACAAAAACAGUCGUGCUUGGAAUAAAGGACGAAUCCACUACUCAAAUAACCAAGACGAAGUAUUGAAGGCAUAUCAAUCUCAAUAUGCUGAGGACAUGGAUUGUUUCCUCCGUGCCAGAGCACUUGAGACUGUGCAUCGAGGAUUGAUUGUGCUUAACCUAUUAGGACUCCCCAAUGAUAUCCCUCAGUCUCAUCACUUAAUUGGAAAUUUGGCUAUUGACAUUUUAGGAUCUUGCCUUGUGGAGAUGGCUAGGAAGGUAAGCAAUAUUCAUCGAACUGCAUACGCCGGUAAAUUAAAUUGGUUUGUUUAUAAGCUUUUUUUCUUUCUGAGUAGAGGUAUUUUAAAAAUCGAUCAAUUUCACAUAUUUGAUAUCGUUCCUUUAUGCAGUAUUUCAGAAGACCGUAUCUUAAAUAUAUAUGGGUGCAUAAUUAAUAAUAAUACUAUGUUUUUCGUUUAUACAGGGGGUAAUUAGUGAAGAAAAAGUGGAUUCAUUUAACAUGCCUUGCUAUUUCGCAUCUCCCCAAGAACUGGAAAUCAUUGUGGAACGAAAUGGAUGUUUUAGCACAGAGAUAUUGGAAGCCUUACCACAGCAUGUCUCGAAACAUGGCACUCCCAGUGCUCCAACUUUUAGAGCUAUCACAGAGGGACUCAUCACGCAACAAUUUGGAGAAGAAAUCUUAGGUGUUCUCUUCAGCUUGUAUCAGCAGAAACUUGAAGAGCAAAUCUCAAUAGCUGAGUCAAAGAAGUCAGCUGUCAUUUUUGUUGUGCUUAAACGCAAGACAAAUUGAUUUGAACAUGCAUUGUUUUAUUCUUGAAAGCGCUUUCAGUUAUUUUAAACACAUGUCUAAACGAGCUCUUAAUCAUUUGGUAUUGAAGAGUAGAUUUUAAGUGAGUUUCUUUUUGCAUUCACUUUGUCUCUUAUCGAAAAAUCGUCAAAAAAUCCGUUAGUAAUGCACAAAUUAGACCCACUAUGUUGAUGAAAUGUACCACUCAUGGGUUCCAUGUGCGUCAAAAUAAUAGAAUAUUUUCAUUUCAGACAAUUUAAUUUAAUUAUUAAAAAUAAAUAAUUUCCUAAUCCCAUGUAUAUUGCAUUUUUUGUCCAUAAAAAAAAUACUAUAUUAAAAAUUGACAGACAAAUCUUGUUUAUGUCCCUAAAUAUCAAUAGCUACACCCGUAGAAAAAAUAGAUCACCGCCGCAUUGUCUCUGUCGAUCAGAGGAGACAAUGCUUCCGUCUCUACAAAGAAAAAUAAAGGUAGUUUAACAUCUUUAGCUAGUGAAUACAACUUUUUGUAGUGUACAAGCAACAUUACCAACUCUAAUCUACGAUAAGGGGAGGGAAAGGGGUAAGAAUCCGCAACAUAGUGGGUUGAACAUGUAGUUCCAAAUUGUCCUACCAAUAAUAUGGUUCCACAUGUAUUAAAAAUAGUUGUUGAUGCACAAAAUCAAUGGGGAAUUUGGUACAACAGAAAGUGUUAAGUUUGUGACAUUCGCUAGAUUGCUCCGGUCUCUAGUGUGGAUAAGUAUGUAAAUGGAUAGAGACAGGGAAGCAAACACAAGAUGUACGUGGUUCACCCAGAUUGGCUAUGUCCACGGAGUAGAAGAGUUCUCAUUAAUUGUGAAGGGUUUACACAAAUGCAUAGGUUCAAACUCUCUUUUAGUGAGUACUAGUGAAUGAUUUAGUACAAAUGACAUUAGGAAAUAUUGUGAGAGAAUGAUCUCUAUUUAUAGAAGAGAGUUUCUAGUUUUAUUCUAACAUUGACACGUGUCGUGUUGUGAUUGGCUUCUGAUGUUGACACGUGUCGCGCUAUGAUUGGCUUCUGAUGUUGACACGUGUCACACUGUUAUUGGCCUCCUGGUUGGAGGGAAACUCUUCUGGGUCCUUGACGAUAUAACGUUGACCGGUGCUCAGUAGUUUCGGAAUUGGUCAAGUAUGGUACAAACAGUGCUCCUCUAAGUUCCCGAGUAAGGGAAGCUCCUCGGUUGGGGACUUGCAAGAUCCAAGCCACUGAGUAAUCACGAAACUUCUAAGUACCAAAGUGUGGUAUCGUCUUCACUUGCCUUAUCUGUUUCAUAGGUAGAUGUGGCAUGUUCUCUGGAAGUACUUUUCCUCCAUCCAUGGGUGGUAUCUUUAACCGGUGGAGAUGCACAAGAUAAUGUAUCAAUUUGACUUGAAGCUUACUUGUAGUUUCAGGCUUGGUCAAGCGCGAUACAGACCAUGUAGUAGGAGUCCCCCAAGUCGCCGAGCUAGGAGAUUUGCCGAAAGAAGUGACAGACAAGGUAAGCAAUCAAAGUUCCAAGCAAUCAGUCCCAGAUCAGAAGUUUGAUUUUGGCUUCUGGUUGAUUGUUCUCAUUCUCCUUGUGUCUCAUAAACAGCAACAAGGAUAAGGAGAAGCAAAUAGAGAAUAUAUGAUAUGAGAUACUUUUGCUUUUGAAUAAGUAACUUUCCACAGGCUUAUUCUUGAACUGGGCUGGAGAGUUUUCAGGUUUCCUCCAGAGUAUAAGGCCGACUCAAGAAUUUGAGGGUCAAAACAAGUCCAUCAAAUCUAGAGUACGUUCGACCCUGAUGAUAUGGGAUACUUUUGCUGUUAACAAAGUAGUAGAUGUAUCGGCACGUGUUCUGUUACACUUGUCUCCACAUGCUUCCUUGUAUCCUUCUCACUUGCCCUAUCUGUUCCUCAGGCAGAUAUGGUAUCUUUUCUAGAAGCAUAAGAUGUUGAAGAUGAGUACUCGAUAGCAAUGCCACAUAAGUAAUCAAGCAAGGGGUUCCAGGCAGUCAGUUCCUGACUGGAAGCUUGAUUCCAAAUACUGACUGAUUGCUCUAUUUCUCCUUGUCUUGCAGGUAAGAACAAUGCCAAAGGAAAAGACAGGGAAAAAGCAUGAUAUGGGAUACUCUUGCUUUUAACCCUGAUGAUAUGAGAUACUCUUGCUUUGGUAUGGCUUGUUUGCAGAGGUAUUAUCGGGAGAAAAAAAAGCUGAGUAUUUCGAGAGACUCUGCUGAGAGUGCCUUUUCGGAUGUGAAGAAAAGUUGAGCAUUUUUUUUUAUUUGCAGGUCUGCCUGGCUGUGGAGGAUGGAGGUCGACAUAUAUAGGAGUCUCCCUAACAACAAAUAGUGGUGUUAUUCCUUUACCCUUCUUGGUCAUAGCAAUGUAGUGGGAGCUGCAAGCUUCACGUGUUUUAACUUUGUCAGAGCACUUUGAAAAAGUGGUUUGUGGUAUCUAGAAAGCUGAUGUUGCGUGUGAAGAUUGUAGAUAAGCUUUAUCCAAGGAAAUCUGGCUCUCGAAGUUCGGAGAGUGAUGCCUCUUCAAUUUUCGAACAAGCAAUCCUGUCGGGGAUCUAGCUCCUGAGAUUCAGAGAACGGUGUCUCUUCGAUUUUUGAGAAAGCAAUCCUGUUGGGAGUCUGACUCUUGAGAUUUGGAGAGCAGUGUCUUUUCGAUUUUUGAGAAAGUAAUCCUGUUGGGAGUCUAGCUCUCGAGAUUCGGAGGGCGGUGCCUCUUCGAUUUUUGAGCACGUAAUCUUGUUUGGAGUCUGCCUCUCGAGAUUCGGAGAGCGGUGCCUCUUUAAUUUUUGAGAAAGCAAUCCUAUUGGGAGUCUGACUCUUGAGAUUCGGAGAGCAGUGUCUCUUCGAUUUUUGAGAAAGUAAUCUUGUUGGGAGUCUGGCUUUCGAGAUUCGGAGGGCGGUGCCUCUUCGAUUUUUGAGCACGUAAUUCUGUUGUGAGUUUGGCUCUCGAGAUUCGAAGAGCGGUGCCUCUUCGAUUUUUUAGCAAGCAAUCUUAUUGGGAGUGUUUUCUCAAAUGUGAGUAAAUGUUGGGUAUUUUUGCCAGUCUGCCUUACCACGGAACACGGAGGUUGACACACAUAGGAACUUUUCAGUUAUCAAGUAGUGGUGCUGUUCCUUUACCCUUGUGGGUAAUAGUAGGGUAGAUAGACCUUCAAAAUUUAUGUGUCUAAACUUUGUCAGAGAUCUUUGGCAAAAUUAUAUGUGGUACCCGAAGAGCUGAUGUUGCGUGUGGAGAGUGGUGCCUCUUCGAUUUUUGAACCAACGACCAUGUUGCCCUUUCUUUUAUAGGGGCACCAAUUGUGUGCAAUAAGUACAUUCAGAGAGUUAUUACUUGUAGGAAUUUUCCUUUUUUUUUGUACUUAAGAGAUUUUUUGCACCUCAUUUCUCCUUCAUCAUUUCUGAGAAUGUCUGGCUCAUCCGAUCAUCGUUUUGACUUAAACUUUGGUGAAUAGGCAGCUAUGCCUUCUCAAGACAACAUAUGGCGCUCAUCCUUCUUAUCCUCUAUUGGUCAUCUUACAGUUGGGGACUCUGUGAUGAAAAAUGAUAUGACCACUGCGGUGGAGGCUAGGAACCUUCUCACUCCUAAAGAUAAUAGAUUACUUUCCAAACGGUCUGAUGAGUUGGCUGUUAAGGAUUCUCUGGCUCUCAGUGUUCAGUGUGCAGACUCUGUGUCUAAUAUAGCCCAACACCUAUUUGCUCGAACCCGCCAAGUUGAAUCAUUGGCGGCUGAAGUGAUAAGUCUCAAACAGGAGAUCAGAGGGCUCAAGCAUGAGAAUAAACAGUUGCACAGGCUCACACAUGACUAUGCCACAAACAUGAAAAGGAAGCUUGACCAGCUGCAGGAAUUUGAUGGUCAGAUUUUGCUUGAUCAUCAAAGGUUUGUGGGUUUGUUCCAAAACCAUUUAUUGUCUUCGUCUUCUGGGGCUGUACCGCGUAAUGAAGCUCAAAAUGAUCAACCUUCGAUGCAUCCUCCUUCUGGGGUUCUGCCCAGUACUGAGGCUCCGAAUGAUCACCCUCCGGUGCCUACUCUUUCUGGGGCUCUACCGACUGCUGAGACUUCUCAUGAGCAACUUUUGUGAAGGCUCCCUCUUGUUUGUUUAUUUUGAUUCAUGUAUAUGUACAUAUUUGUAACUUAUCGGAUAUAUCAAUAAACAAGCUUUACUUCAUUUCAACAUAUUGUGUUAAAUACAUCAAGGCCUUCUUCACUAAUUCUUUGAUUUUUUUCUUUUGUUGAAGCUUGUAUGUUGAAGCUUUAAGAGUGAAGCAUGUAAGUUGAGGUAGUGCUCCCUUAAUUUCCCGAGUGAGGAAAACUUCUCGGUUGGAGACUCGAAAAAUCCAAGUUACUGAGUGGUCAUGAGACUUCUGAGUAUCAAGGUGCAGUAGCAUCUGGUAGGAGUCCCCCAAGUCUCCGAUCGAGGGAGUUGACGAAUGAGGCAUUUCCUUUCUAAGUGGUAGCCCAAAACUCCUCCUUCAUAUAUAUAUUUGUUAUGAAAGUUGUUAGGUCCAAAGAAGAGGAGGCCUAGGCAAUUUUUUUUUUUUGAAUUUUUGAUUUUUUGAAUUUCCGAAAAUAUAUAUAUAUAUAUAUAUAUAUAUAUAUAUAUAUAUUAAGCUUUGUAGGUGAAGCUUUGGUGUUGAAGCUUUGAGGUUGAAGCUUUGUUGGGCACCAUGAAUUGAUUUUGCUUCACACUAUCUUGAUCAAGAUAGUGUGAAGCUUUUGUAGGUGAAGCUUUUGUGGGUCAAGCUUUUGUGGAUCAAGCUUUUGUGGGUGAAGCUUUUGUAGGUCAAGCUUUUGUAGGUCAAACUUUUGUAAGUCAAGCUUUGGAGUUGAAGCUUUUGUGUAGAAACUUUUGUAGGUGAAGCUUUGGAGUUGAAGCUUUUGUUGGGUACCAUGAAUUGAUUUUACUUUACACUAUCUUGAUCAAGAUAGUGUGAAGCUUUUGAGAAUUUGUAGUUGUCCUCCAUUGAUGAAGCUUUUGUUGGUGAAGCUUUUGUGGGUGAAGCUUUUGUGUUGAAGUUUUUGUAGGUGAAACUUUGGAGUUGAAGCUUUGUAGGUGAAGCUUUGGAGUUGAAGCUUUGUAGGUGAAACUUUGGAGUUGAAGCUUUUGUUGGGUACCAUGAAUUAAUUUUGCUUCACACUAUCUUGAUCAAGAUAGUGUGAAGCUUUUGAGAAUUUGUAGUUAUCCUCCAUUGAUGAAGCUUUUGUGGUGGGUGAAGCUUUAGUUGGUGAAGUUUUUGAGGGUGAAGCUUUUGUGGUGGGAGAAGCUUUUGUGGGUGAAACUUUUGUUGGUGAAGCUUUUAUGGGUGAAGCUUUUGUAAGUGAAGCUUUUGUGAGUGAAGCUUUUGUGGUGAGUGAAGCUUUUAUGGUGAGUGAAGCUUUUGUGGGUGAAGUUUUUGUGGGUGAAGCUUUUGUGGUGGGUGAAGCUUUUGUGGGUGAAAGCUUUUGUGGUGGGUGAAGCUUUUGUGGGUGAAGCUUUUGUGGUGGGUGAAACUUUUGUGGGUAAAGCUUUUGUAAGUGAAGCUAUUGUGGGUGAAGCUUUUGUAGGUGAAGCUUUGGAGUUGAAGCUUUGUAGGUGAAGCUUUAGAGUUGAAGCUUUUGUUGGGUGAAGCUUUUAUCGGUGAAGCUUUUGUAGGUGAAGCUUUGAAGUUGAAGCUUUGUAGGUGAAGCUUUGGAGUUGAAGCUUUUGUUGGGUACUAUGAAUUGAUUUUGCUUCACACUAUCUUGAUCAAGAUAGUGUGAAGCUUUUGAGAAUUUGUAGUUAUCCUCCAUUGAUGAAACUUUUGUUGGUGAAGCUUUUAUUGGCACCAUAAAUUGGUUUCGCUUCACAUUGUCUUGAUCAAGAGUGUGUGAAGCUUUUGAGAAUUGUGGUUGCCCUCAUUUGAUGAAGCUCUUGUUGGCACCAUAAAUUGGUUUUUCUUCACACUGUCUUGAUCAAGAGUGUGUGAAGCUUUUGAGAAUUAUGGUUGAACUCAUUUGAUGAAGCUCUUGUUGGCACCAUAAAUUGGUUUUGUUUUAUAUUGUCUUGAUCAAGAGUGUGUGAAUCUUUUGAGAAUUGUGGUUGUCCUCCAUUGAUGAAGCUCUUGUUGGCACCAUAAAUUGGUUUUGCUUCACACUGUCUUAAUCAAGAGUGUGUGAAGUUUUUGAGAAUUGUGGUUGCCCUCCAUUGAUGAAGCUCUUGUUGGCACCAUAAAUUGGCUUUACUUCACACUGUCUUGAUCAAGAGUGUGUGAAGCUUUUAUUGGCACCAUAAAUUGGUUUCGCUUCACACUGUCUUGAUCAAGAGUGUGUGAAGCUUUUGAGAAUUGUGGUUGCCCUCAUUUGAUGAAGCUCUUGUUGGCACCAUAAAUUGGUUUUUCUUCACACUGUCUUGAUCAAGAGUGUGUGAAGCUUUUGAGAAUUAUGGUUGAACUCCUUUGAUGAAGCUCUUGUUGGCACCAUAAAUUGGUUUCGUUUUACAUUGUCUUGAUCAAGAGUGUGUGAAUCUUUUGAGAAUUGUGGUUGUCCUCCAUUGAUAAAGCUCUUGUUGGCACCAUAAAUUGGUUUUGCUUCACACUGUCUUAAUCAAGAGUGUGUGAAGUUUUUGAGAAUUGUGGUUGCCCUCCAUUGAUGAAGCUCUUGUUGGCAUCAUAAAUUGGUUUUGCUUCACAUUAUCUUGAUCAAGAGUGUGUGAAGCUUUUGUACGAGUUAUGGUUGAACUCCUUUGAUGAAGCUCUUGUUGGCACCAUAAAUUGGUUUUGCUUCACACUGUCUUGAUCAAGAGUGUGUGAAGUUUUGUACGAGUUGUAGUGUUUGCAUUGUUACAGAGGGGAAAUGUCUGAAGCAGAUGCAAGAGGGCUAAAUAGCUUGAACUUCGUAUGCCAUGCACUGAAGUUGUUGUUGGCUUGCAAUAAGACUUUGUUGGUGACUAUAACUCUUGUUGGGCAUAAGUGCUCCCCUAGUUGAGUUGUCAAGCUUGAGGGUUUUUGAUUAUUUAUGAAUGCUAGGAGUUCACAUGUACAAGUUGUACCACUCGUCUUUUGGUAGGUAGAAUGAAUGGUGAGUUGCUUUCAUCAUUUGGUUGGUGGUACGAAGGUGAGUUCCUUCAUCACCUUUCAUCACAUUUCAUCACCUGGUUGGUGGCACGAGAAUGAGUUCCUUUUUCACCUGGUUGGUGGCAUGAAUGGCAAAUUGCCAAAUAAUAUUAGAGUAUAGGUUGUACAUUUCAUCAUCUAGUUGGUGGCAUGAAGGAGAGUACGGGUUGUACAUUUCAUCACCUAAUUGGUGGCAUGAAGAUGAGUUCUUUCUUCACCUGGUUGGUGGCAUGAGUGGCAAGUUACCAAAUGAUAUUAGAGUACUGGUUGUACAUUUCAUCACCUGGUUGGUGGCAUGAAGGAGAGUACGAGUUGUACAUUUCAUCACCUGGUUGGUGGCAUGAAUAGCAAGUUACCAAAUGAUAUUAGAGUACGGGUUGUACAUUUCAUCACCUGGUUUGUGGCAUGAAGGAGAGUACGGGUUGUACAUUUCAUCACCUGGUUGAUGGCAUGAAGAUGAGUUCCUUCUUCACCUGGUUGGUGGCAUGAGUAGCAAGUUGCCAAAUGAUAUUAAAGUACGGGUUGUACAUUUCAUCAUCUGGUUGGUGGCAUGAAGAAGAGUAUAGGUUGUACAUUUCAUCACCUGGUUGGUGGCAUGAAGAUGAGUUCCUUCUUCACAUUUCAUCACCUGGUUGGUGAGAAUAAAGGCAAAGUGUCUAGGCCACAUUGUAGUAAGUGUCGAAUGACACAAAGUAUAUUGAACCCUUUCAAAGCACAAUUGGCUUAUGUAUGAAUGUGUUGGAAUGUAUGAUUGAACGAAUAUACUGUGAAGCUGUUCAUUUAUUUGUAUAGUCUUAUUGACAUAUACUUAGACUUUGUUUCAUGUUGGAAGCAUUCAUGUUGAAGCUUUGAACCCGAGUGUUUCAUUGCUAGGAAUGUAAGAGGAUUAGGGCUAAGUUGUCUAAAUCACCUCUUUAUUGAAUUCAUGCCAAAUAGUCUUCGUUACAUAGGAUGCCGAACGGCUGAAGCUUAACACUUGUACAAUGUGAGUUUACUUGUAAUAGUACUUCAAGUGAUCAGCGUUCCAUGGAUGGCCAAGGGUCUUGCCAUCGGAGCUUCUAAGCUUGUAGGAGCCAGGGCGACUGAUGCCAACAACUUCAAACGGUCCAUCCCAGUUUGGACUAAGUGUUCCUUCACUCGGGACUCUGUCGCAGAGUAGUCUUUUCUUCAAUACCCAGUCCCCCACUUUGAAGGAACGAGGUUUGACCCUUGAGUCAUAGUAGUUGGAGAUGCGCUGCUUGUAGGCGACAUUCCUCAAGUAAGCCUGGUUUCUGUGUUCCUCGACUAGAUCUAAGUUGAGGGUAAGUUGUUUAUCAUUUUCACUUUGCACGUAGUUCUGGACUCGGAACGUUGCUUGCUCAAGCUCAACUGGGAUAACUGCCUCUGUACCAAAGGCAAGUGAGAAUAGGGUUUCUCCUGUUGAUGUCCGAUACGAAGUGCCGUAUGACCAAAGAACUUAGGGUACAAAUUCUAGCCAACAACCUUUAGCCUUGUCCAAGCUAGUUUUCAAAGUUCGCUUGCUUAUUUUGUUGAUGGCUUCAACUUGUCCAUUAGACUGGGGAUGAGCUGGGGAGGCAAAACAUAAGUUGAUGUUGAACUUAGAGCAGAACAUCCUGAACUUAUUGUUGUUAAACUGUCGUCUGUUGUCAGUGACUAUCGCAUUGGGAAUGCUAAAUCUACAAAGGAUGUUCUUCCAUACGAAGUCUUCUAUUUUUGCCUCAAUAAUGGUUGCAAAGGGUUCUACUUCGGCCUACUUUGUGAAGUAGUCAACUGCAACGAUUGCAUAGCGAACCUUGCCCUUCCCUGCAGGCAUUGGGCGGAUCAAAUCAAGUCUCCAUUGGGCCAAGGGCCAAGGGCUGAUCAUAGGAGUGAGCCGCUCGGGAGGGGAGUGAGGAAUAGUUGCGUAGCGUUAACACUUAUCACAUAAGCGGGAUAUUCUAAUGGCAUCUUGGUGGAGUGUUAGCCAGUAAUAUCCUUGGCGAAAAGCCUUAUGUGCUAGGGAUCGAGAUCCAGCAUGAUAUCUGCAGACUCCUUCAUGUAUUUCCUAAAUGACAAUUUCCGCCUCUGCGGGCGUAAACAUCUUAGGUAUGGUAGGCUAAAACCCCGCUUGUAGAGUUUGUCAUUAAUGAUCAAGUAACGGGUAGCCUUGUAUCGAAUCUGCUUAGCUUGGACUUUGUCAUUUGGAAGGGUGCCAUGAGCAAGGAAUCUAUAAAUCGGGGUAAUCCAACUAUCCCCCUAUUGUAAGUUGCACACUUCAGCAGCCAUUAUGCUUGGUACUGCCAACAAUUCGACUUGAAUUUUUCUCCCAAUCUUGUCUUCCACUGCUUAGGCGAGGCGAGCCAAAGCAUCUGCAUAAUUGUUUGCCGCUCGAGGAAUUUAGGUGAUCUGGUAGUGGAAGUGCUUGAGCAACAAUUGUGUUUGUGCCAAAUAUGCUGCCAUGGAGCUAUCCUUAUCGUUAAAGUUGUUGGUGACCUGGUUAACCACCAAUUGGGAGUCAUUGAAGAUAUCAAUUCGUUUAACCCCAAGGUGUUUGGCCAAACGUAAGCCUGCUAGGAGGGCUUCAUAUUCGGCCUCAUUGUUCGACGCCUUGAAUUUGAAACAAAGAGCAUACUAUAUCGCCACUUUGUUAGGGGUCGUAAGGACUAGUCUUGCUCCACAACCCUGUUGGUUGGACGAGCCAUCAACAUAUAGACUCCAUGCUGGGGUUGUUGGUUCUAUUUUCUAAGCUUCUGAGGGUAAUGAAACCACUUCUUUAGGCAUAGAAACAAUGUCAAUAGGAUAUGUGAAGUCGGCGAUGAAGUCUGCCACUGCUUGGCCUUUCUCAGCUGGCUUUAGUUGGUAGGAGAUGUCAAACUCACCCAAUGUUAUCGCCCAUUUGAUCAUUCGCCCGAAAGUAUCAGGACUUUGAAGUAUCUGUGGAAGAGGUUGAUUGGUAAGCACGAUGAUGAAGUGUGCUUGGAAGUAAGGGCGAAGUUUUCGAGCAGACAUGACCAAUACUAGAGCCAAUUUCUCAAUGUUGGAGUAUCGUGUCUUCGUAUCUUGUAAGGCCUUGCUAGUGUAGUGGACAGGCCGUUCGACAUUACCAUCCUUUUGAAUGAGAACGGAACUUACUGCUGAAGCCGAUACCGAUAGAUAGAUAAUGAGAGUGUCACCAUCCUCAGGUUUGGAGGGCAAAUGGGCUUUACUCAUGUAGUAUUUGAGGUUCUUGAAUGCCUCAGCAUAUUCAUCAAUCCAUGUAAUGUAUUUCUUACUUCCUUUAAGUGCUUUAAAGAAAGGAGCACAUAUGUCUGUGGCCUUAGAGAUGAACCUAGUUAAGGCUGCCAUCUUGCCAGUAAGGCUUUCGAUGUCUUUUGAAGUUACCUGUUCCUUCAUGUCAAUGAUUGCUUUGAUCUUUUCGGGAUUAGCCUCAAUGCCUCGUUGGCUUAUCAUGAAGCCUAAGAAUUUGUCAGAGCCUACGUCGAAGGCACAUUUGUUGGGGUUCAACCUCAUUCGAUACCUCUUCAGAAUGGUGAAAGUUUCAGAUAGGUUGGUGAUGUGUUGGUCAACAUGUUUGCUCUUGACUAGCAUAUCAUCAACGUAAACUUCCAUGCUCUUCCUAAUCUGUUCGGCGAACAUUGAAUUGACCAAUCUCUGAUAAGUUGCUCCUGCAUUCUUUAGGCCGAAGGGUAUGACUUUAUAGCAAUAUAGUCCACUGUCAGUAGUGAAGGUUGUGUGUUCUUGGUCUGGAGGGUUCAUGAGGAUUUGGUUGUAUCCUGAGUAAGCAUCCAUGAAGCUCAAAAGUUUACACCCUGCUGUAUAGCCUAUAAGUCUGUCUAUGAGAGGAAGAGGAAAGCUAUCAUUCGGGCAUCAUUUGUUUAGGUCGGUGUAAUCGACACAUAUUCUCCACAAGACCUUUUGGAGCAGGAGACUUUUCUUGGUCGAAUUCUUCUUAACAAAGACAACAUUUGUUACCCACGUUGGAUAAUUAACUUCGCGGACGAAGCCUAUGCCUUUGAGUUUUUCAACUUCUGCCUUCAUUGCCUCGUACCAUUCAGCGUCAUAAGAUCUUCGCUUCUAUCUCACUGGCUUGGUCUUGGGGUCAAUACUUAAGCGAGGAAAGAUGAUAUCGGGAGAGAUGCCUGGCAUGUCCUCGUAUGACCAGGCGAAGACCUCAGUGUUCUCUUGAAAAAAAGAGAUCAAUGCCAACUGAAUGGGCGGUGAUAAGGUGGUGCCAAUCUUCACCAUGCGAUCCGGAUAAUCUUUUGAGAUAGAGACAUUCUCUAACUCUUCAGCGGGUUGUGUUUGCUGGGUGAAAGAGUUAUCUCGAGGAUCGUCGAGUUGACUGUUGCCACCGUGAAGAUUCAAGUUGGCUUCGUCUGGGCUGGUCUUUAUGACUUGGUCAUGUAUAGAAAAGGUUUCCUUGGGCACAGGCAGAUAUUGUUGCUUGAUCGAAGUGUUGUAACAUGAUCGAGCACUAAGUUGAUCUCCUCUAAUGUAACCAUUGCCAUAGGGGGUUGAAAAUUUCAUCAACAACAUAUGUGUGGAUACCAUGGCUUUGAGAUCAUUGAUGCAUGUGUGUCCCAAGAUGACAUUGUAUGUCAAUCAACCACCAGGAAGUUAGUGGUAAUGGUAGCUGUGUAAGGACCUGUACCAAUGGUGAAAGGUAAGUGUAUGCUCUCCAAAGGUUGCACGAUAUCACCGGAGAAGCUUAUCAGAGGGGAAAUCGAGCGAUCGAGCAAGUGUUCAGCUACAUUAAGUGCCUUGAAAGCUUCAACAAACAUGAUACUGACCGAAACCCCCGUGUUUACCAGGAUUCGUCGUACUUCAAAGUUGGCUAUGUGAGCUUCCACAAUUAGUGGGUCAUUGUGAAGGUAGAUGAUACCUCUUUCUUCCUCAGGGUAGAAACAUAUUAGAUCCCAGUUAGGAUUUUGAUACUUACCUCCCCUGAUGUCUUCCACGUGAAACACUUAGUGGUAGACCUUAAAACUCGUUCACUAUUUUUCAUGGCCCUGUUGGAAGAUUUAGAUAUGGGUGUGCCACCACUUAUAGAAUAUAUCACAUUCAUCUGGCGUUGGUUACGGUUACCCCUUGGAGGUUGAAGGAGGAAUUGAUCAAUUUUUCCUUCACGUGUCAAGGCUUCAAUAUGACAAAGGGUGAUACAUUUCUCGCCGUCAUGACCGUUAUGCUCGUGGUAGCAGCAAAACGUGUUCGUGUUCUUCAUGGGCUUGUAAUCCGGGUGCCUCGGUUUUGGCUUCGGUAUCAGGUGUGCUAUGCUGGGGUAAAUAGCCACGCAUGUGGCGUUCAAAGGUGUGUAUGCCUCAUACCUCGGGGUAGGGGCUGUCCUGACACGUGCUUGACCCACUGUGUUGACUGCUUGGGGUCGGGGAUUAUCAUGGUGAUACCCUUGGUUAUCGUGGUAGUGUCCCUUACUUCUUUUACUAAAAUGAGACUGGUGAGGAUGUAAAUCUUUCCUUUUGCCCUGAGAUUGAUAUUUCUGUUGACUUGGCAAAGUAUUAGGUAAGGUAGGGGAAGUCACCGCUGCCAUUUGGAAGGUCGAUCUCUUCUCAUUUUGUUGGAUCUGGCUUCCACUCCCUACUUGCUGAUAAUGGGUGGUUGUGGAGGGUUUCCCUUGAUAUGUCCUUGCAUCGGCGGAGGCAUGGUUGUAAGCCUGUGCCAUCACCUCAGAGUAAGUCUUCUAAGUAUUGGCAUUGAUCAUGUACUUGAAGAAACAAUCACGUAGGCUUGCCUUGAAGGCCUUUAGGGCGGUCUUGUCAUCUGCCUCAGCGCAGCGAGAAUACUCAUGGCUGAAACGACCGGCAUACUCUCGUAGUGACUCGUCCGACUUCUGGCAAAUAGUGUACAAGUCAUCUGCAGAAUGCAAGCGAUCGGUCUGGAAGAUGUGUUGAGAGACAAACAGUUUUCUCAGUUCCUCAAAUAAGUCUACUGUCUCAGGUGGAAGACGGCAAUACCAGUUUAGAGCUCCGCCAGAGAGGGUGAAGGGGAAGAGAAGACAUCGCUCUUCGUCGGUGUGCAUCUGGUAUGUCAUGGUGGACUCAAAGAGGUUAAGGUGUUCAAUUGGGUUUUCCCUUCCAGUAUAGAGUUGUAAACCAAGCUUUUGUUUUGUCUUCGCUUGAAGAUAGGUGUUGAAGAUCCUCCUUGUUAGAGGGCCAGGCCUGGGUUGGUUCCAAUCAGGUACCUCAGCUUGUCGUUCGGCCUUCAACUUGUUUACUUUCUUAAGAAGCUGUAGGACAAGAGGGUCCUGAGUGGAGUCAUGUACCGCUAGAGCUUUCUUUCGUAUAUCUCCAUAUCCUCUUGGAAGUAUGAAGGUUUGAUCAAGAGCAUGUGAUUUUUCCCUGAACUCGCCGUACUGACUUCCAAGGUAUGUCUGUCGAAACAUCUCUGAGUCCCUUAUACCUUCGUGUUUCUCUAGUACUUUUUGCCCCUUCCCCAAAUUGGUAGCCGGCCUAGGACAUGGGAGGGGACUGAGUCUUUCAGAGACUCUUGGGUCAUUGAUAUUCGAGCUUACAUGGAUGGGAUUGUCUCGACGUUGCUUUAGAAAAUCUCAAUAGUCGCGAAAGACGGUUUUCGAUCCUUCCACUCAUUCUGUAAGGAGGUGUCUUCCUCCACUUCUCUUGCUUCGGGUCGAAGCAGCUGGGUUGAGAGAAGUCUCAUGUUGAUCAAUGUUCUGAUGAUUAGCUCACUCCUUAUUAGGGAUACCCAUGUCGAAGAAAGGUGACCCUCCGUGUUGGGGGGCACCCAGAUGAUGGUUGAUGUCCACAAGGGUAAUGAGCUCGUGUGUUUGAGUAUGCCUAUUUUCGUGGAGCGUCUCAAAGAGCUUUUCAUACAGCUCAUGGAGGACCUCAUUCUUCAUUGUUAUCUUGUUGUUCUGAGCUUUUAGCUCAUCAACUUUAGCUUGAAGAGCAACCCUCUUUCAUUCAUUCUUUCUUUGCCUCACACCAAGUGCAAGAGAGGUGUCAUUCUGCGUGCUGUGGCUUCUUUCGCUCCCCAUGUUGGAGAGGGAUGCCUGGUCAAAAGAGAGUGUACGAAUGGUGGAAACCAGCUUGGCAAAGCUGAAGAAAGUGGGAAUAAGUGUCGUUCCCACAAAUGUUGAUGCACAAAAUCAGUGGGGACUUUGGUACAACAGAAAGUGUUAAGUUUGUGACCUUCGCUAGAUUGCUCCGGUUACUAGUGUGGAUAAGUAUGUAAAUGGAUAGAGACAGGAAAGCAAACACAAGAUGUACGUGGUUCUCCCAGAUUGGCUACGUCCACGGAGUAGAGGAGUUCUCAUUAAUUGUGAAGGGUUGACACAAGUGCAUAUGUUCAAGUUCUCUUUUAGUGAGUACUAGUGAAUGAUUUAGUACAAAUGACAUUAGAAAAUAUUGUAAGAGAAUGAUUUCUAUUUAUAGAAGAGAGUUUCUAGUUUCAUUCUGACAUUGACACGUGUCGUGUUGUGAUUGACUUCUGAUGUUGACACGUGUCGCGCUAUGAUUGGCUUCUGAUGUCGACACGUGUCGCGCUAUGAUUGGCUUCUGAUGUCGACACAUUUCGCGCUGUGAUUGGCCUCCUGGUUGGAGGGAAACUCUUCUGGGUCAUUGACGGUAUAACGUUGACCGGUGCUCAAUAGUUUCGGGAUUGAUCAAGUAUGGUACAAACAGUAGUCUUUACAAUUUUAAAAUUAUAUGAUUUAGUUACAAUGUCUACAAUAAUUACGGUUGAGUAGGAAUCUAUAGUCUAUUUAAACACCACUUUUAUCUUAGUUCACCCAACCUCGAGCUUGAGAUAGUCUUUCUUUUUACUCCUCACAAACCCUAAAUCUAAGAUGGAAACCAACAAUGAUGGCCACACGCAUCGCGCAUCCUCUUUUUCCAUUCUAAGAACCAACAAUCCUUUCCAGACAUAUGCUUCAUCUUCUUUCUCUAAACUUUGAGACGAAAAAUCAGCUAUCCAGCUUUCAUAAACGUGAGUGUUAUCAUCAUCAAGCUUCAGAAAGCUUCGGAACUUAUCAAUACAAAUAAAGGCAUAGAGACGGACUUGGAGAGCUGGAGCAGCAAGUAUAUGAUAAACAGCAACUGGGUUUGGGUCGGGUUCAAUCUGACCUGUUAAGUUAAUGGGUCAUCCGAACUCAACCCAUUAAGCUAACGGGUCAUCCGUUUCACCCAUUAACAAUUAUUAUUAUUAUUAUUAUUUUGCAUAAAGUUUAUUUUUUGUUGUUAAGACUUUACUGAAAUUACUAAAACAUUAUCAACUAACAGGUGCUAACAGGUUGAUCUAAAAUGAUCCGUUAUUUAAAGGGUUCACCCGUUAACUACCAAACCUAUUAAGUAUCAAUCCAAUACUAAUAUUAACAUGUCGAAUCGGAUCAGAUUAACGGAUCGUGUCCAAAAUGCCAGGUCUAGCCGAAAGUAUUCUUUUGGGCUCGUGGAUGAAGCACAUUGUACAUAUAUUAAAAGAAAAACUAAUGAAAAUGACUUGAAAACUUUGAGUUUUAAUGAUAAGGACAAAAUAAAUGGUAAAGUGAAUAGUACCAGGAUUGAAUUUUUAGUAUAAAAAUGUGAUUUUUCAUUAAAAUGAACAGUACCGGAGCUUUUCGUUAAAGUUUUUUAUAUUAAAACCGGGUUCCCUGACAUUGUUUUUCACUGUUCAUGAACAGUGAAAUGACGGUGAUGCCCUUAUUUGCUUCCCUGUUCUCCGUGUUUUCGUCCUUGCACAGUGGAUUUACUUAUUUGUCCACGCGUCGAUCAUCGUCGACUGCUCCGCUUCCACUGCGUACAUAGAGCUGGGCUUUUCAUUUGCUUCCGGUAGUCCUCCAUUUGCUGCACGAACUCCAGUUCUCUCACCUUAUUUUGCACGAACCAGAACAUAUGCUGUCUAUCCCGUUCCGAUUCGAAGAAAUUCUUAAGGACACACCCAGGAAAGCUUGGCUCCCGUUCUGAUUUGAAGAAAUUUUAAACCCAAAAAACUUGGGUUUCUUGGUGAGUUCUCGGACAUAUUUGUUUUGGGUUUGGUUUUUGGUUUUCCUUUCUUUGUUCAAAUUUUUGUGAUUUUAAUUUUAAAAAUCUGGAUAUUUUUGUUCAAUGGUUUUAUCCAUCUUAUUAGCUUUCUCACCAGAGAUCUCUGCUAUCACUGUUCCACCAAACUCGAGCGUCCGCUCUUUCGAACCUGGUACGUCUUUCACUUUCUGUUUGUUUCCCGGAAAUUUUAGGGCUCGAAAGUGAAAGUGGGUAGAGUUGUAGAAGUAAAAAAAAAAAAAAGUCUUAAUCUUUAUGUUGUCCUGUACACAAAGAAUUUGAAUUUUUAUUGUGUUUCGGCAUUCCCAUACUGGAAUUUUGUGAUUUGGAAAUUAUAGAAGUUAGUACCCAGUUAAAAUUUCAGAUUGGGGUUUUGAACAUUGUUCUAGGUUAUGGAUUAGAACAAAAAGUUACCUUCUAGAAAAGACGUGAAGAUAUGUAGUUUUCAGUGUAUAAAUUGGCUUUUAAACAUUGUUCUGGGUUAUGGGUUAUUACAAAGAUUCACCUUGAAGCAAAAUUACAAUUGAUUUACAAGAGGAGAUCUUUGAAAAUGAGGUCUCAGCUGGCCAUGAUUCAUCGUUAUUUUAGAAGAAUGGACGCGCUGACAUAUUUCUUAAACAAUAAUGCGUGACUUUUAAGUGGACAAUUUCACUUUUUGUUUUCAUGUCAAACCAACUUGCCUCUCAUAUAUGGUUCCGUUGUUAACAUAUUUUCUUCCAUUGGUUCUCAACAAUGCUUUUAUGUUGCACCAGGGAAAAUCUAUUUGAGAAUGGGAAUCAUCUGAAUCAGUUCUUGUAUGAUGAUCCAACAAUAUCUCAUUCAUGGUUUGCAUAGUUAUUAAGAAUAUGAUGGGAUAACCGAGUUGAGUUCAUGAAUUAAACUAGGUCGGGUUAAUUACACUUUAGCAGAUGCCUUUUUGACUUAAUGUCAAUUACUUGACGUUUAUCAUAGGCCCUAUGUCCACUGAAGCUUUUUAUUUUUUAUAUUGAUGCUUUAGCAGUUCCCGUUGUCUACACUAUUGAUGUAUAAAUUGCAUCUAUACUUUCAAAAUACAUGUUUUUCAUGACAAUGUAUGAUAUUUAUAAAAUACUUUAUGUUAGAGUCUAAUUCUUUUUACCUUCCCUUCACUGCAGUCCCAGCAAAAGUACUUGGAGACUUGCAGCAUAUGCAAACUCUGUACAUAACUAAAACUGUUUACUAUCAGGUCUUUCUUGGUUAGUGAUUCUGGUAUAAUGUGAAUAUCAAUUGUGUGUUUUGUGCUCCCGGGUUUAUGCUUAGAGCAUUGUUUUUCUAUAUAUAAUUUUUUUCCUUCAGUUCUGUAUGCAUGUAGUUUAUCCCUUUUUUGUCUCAAGUAUUUGGUUGGUUUUAUUUAACAAUUUUUUCGAAUAUAGAGAAUCUUUGCACCAAUAUAUUUUUCUUGGAUUUCCUGAUGAUUUGAAAAUGAAAUGUUUGCCAACAGUGUCACAUGGGUAUCAUGGAUUGCUCAAAAAAGUCUCAAAGACGUGGAGAGAUUCGUUACAUAGCUCCGACUCUGCGAACUAUGAAGCUAGAAAACAAUGGUGCAGAAAUUGCUGUUUGUUCUUGCUAAGGUUUGUAAUCCGAUGACUAAUAAGUGUGUUCCCAUAUUCGGCAAUUCAAAUAUGUCUAGAAAUAAUGUUAUUUUUACAUAAGUUAGGUUUUCCAUUUUUCACUUCUUGCUAUGUUAUUUCUUUUUGAGCAAACGACUUUAAUCACCCUUCCAAGUUUGGAAAUUCUUGAGCUGUGCAAAUUGUACAUUAGAGGGGAUCCCUUGAUAUAUAUUAGUUAGUUCUUACUAUAAUUCGUGCAAAUGUUUUCGUUAUGUUGAAGUAAAAGCCUUUUUAAAGAAACAUAUGAGACACCAUAAGUAAUCUGCACAAGAUAAGUUUGACUUUCAUAUGCAUUUGCUUUGUCAAGAGUCUGUUUAAUAUGCCGUUUCUUUAAAUAAUUACAUCUGGAAAAUAAAUAAAUAAAUAUUGGGAGUAGUUGUUUUUGUUAGGUGGCUUUAAUUGAUUUUGGUCAUGAUAUUUUAUAUAUCAAACUGAUAGGCGAACUUCAAUAUUUUUUACAAAUUGAAGACUAUUCGUGAAGAAUAGGUAUCCCUACUAGUUUUCACAAAAAUUGUUAGGAUAAAAGGACAGUUACUCUGUCACAUCUCGGCCCGGGCUCCUACCACAUCCCGGGCUCGACUUCACCAUAGCACGAUAUUGUUCACUUUGGGCCCUGACUACGCCCUCAUGGUUUUGUUUCUGGGAACUCAUACGAGAACUUCCCAGUAGGUCACCCAUCCUGUGAUUGCUCUCGCGCGAACUCGCUUAACUUCGGAGUUCCGAUAGAAUUUGAAGCUAAUGAGCUCCUAAAAGGUCUCGUGCUAGGUAAAUAUGAGAAUAUAUAUAUAUAUAUAUAUAUAAGACUUACAUGAUCCUCACCCCUAGACGAUAUAGGAUCUUAUAAUCCACCCUCUUUAGGGGCUCGACGUCCUCGUCGGCACACUUCCGGUUAGGAAUUGGCUCUGAUACCAAAUUGUCACAUCCCAGACCGGGGCCCCCAUCACAUCUCGGGCACGACUUUGCCCGAUAUUGUCUGCUUUAGGCCUCGACCACGUUCUCACAGUUUUGUUUUUCUGAAUUCACACGAGAACUUUCCAGUGGGUCAUCCAUUCUGGGAUUGCUCUCGUGCGAAUUUGUUUAACUUCGGAGUUCCGAUGAAACCUGAAGCCAGUGAGCUUCCAAAAUGUCUCGUGCUAAGUAGAGAUGAGAAUAUACAUAUAAGGUUUACAGGAUCCUCACUCCUAGGCGAUGUGGGAUCUUACAUACCCUUCAUGAAUAAUUUUCAACUUGAACAAAAUAAGGAAUUUGUCAUUUAUUUAUUCCUUUAUAUUACCUUUUAUAGAGUUCUAAAGUUGAUUACUAUUGAAAACACACUUUUUUUUCUUUUUAUACAUCCCCGUUUAAUUUAGAGUAUUGUUUCCGAUUAAUGUAUUCGAUCAUAUGACUAGAAAUACAAAAUUUUAUAUGAAAAUUUGCACCCUCGACCUUUAUUUUUAACACAAAAAUAAAAACUGAAACUUAAAAACAAAAUAAUUUUCGAAGUAACAUUACAAUAAAGGUAAUGAUAGGGAGAUUAAAUUUGUAGACAAAUUUUGCAAACUAAAGAUGUGUCACCAAUUGAAAUGAGCACAUUUAUCAACAUUUAAAUAAUAAUCGAAACAUCAACUUGUAUAUCAUUUGAUUUACAAAAUUUUAUCUAUUAAAUCUAGUCACCCUAGCAUUACCCUACAAUAAAUUUAUGCAACAGUUUAUCAAGUGGUAGCAAACUGUUGAUUAGUUGUAUUACAAUGACUUUUCAAACUUUUCUGACGCAUCAGAGCACGUCAUCGUUACCAGCUACCGUAGACUUUUCCAUUAGUAUUUUAUUAUUGCCUUUGGGUUAUCGAGUGUAGGUGUAGCCAGCAAACUGCAUAUAUAAAUAACUACUCCCACGGUACCAUCCACAUACCCGUAACCAGUUAAAGAGCAAGCGAGAGAGAUGGCAGCUGCAGUGGAGGAUUCCAGUAAUGUUUCUGAAGCCUACCCAAUGACAGGCGGAGAUGGCCCCAACAGCUAUGCCAAGAACUCGAUACGCCAGGUUCUGCUCAUGUAGCCUUUACUAGUAUAUAUUAGGAAAUUCUCACGAUGCUUUUUUUUCAUGAGUUCAAGUAGUGAAGCUGCAAAUUAAACUAUUCAUUGAUGAUAAUUUUUUUCCAUUCCUUUUUGUGCUUUUGUAGAAACUAGUUGUUGAUGCUGCCAAAGAACUUCUAACCAAGACUAUUAAACAAAAUCUUGAUCUGGACAUCUGCUUACCUUGCGACACCUUCCAUAUUGCAGAUUUGGGUUGCUCGGUUGGGCCUAAUACUUUUUUAUCGGUUGAAAACAUACUUGAAGCUGUGAAAU
rnacentral:lncRNA from 1 species